UAAAAGGUUAUCUUAGCAAUAAAUACACGUAUUAAAUUUUAUAAAAAAGACAGCAUGCUAAUUGUCGUGAUGUUUAAUUUAGAUUUUUCGCUGAUAAAGGUUGCAAAAUAAUAAGAUAGACUAUUAUGGUAUACAUAUUGUUCGGUGAAUUUUCCUAGCUAACAGGAAACUAAAUUAUUAACUAUUUAUGAUAUUUUUGAAGUCUAUAAAUAAAAUUCUGCUAGUAAAUUUUUGAAAACAAUUCGAAUUUUUUCUUAUUUCUUAAAAAUUAUCGAAUGAGACGGGAUAUAACAAAGGAGAAUUCUAUAAUUGGCUUUAAAAGAAGAUUCCUAGACUCGAACAGAAAGAAGAAGCAGCCUUUAACAGCUUCCGUUCCGGAUCAGGUUCAAAUGGGUUAUCUCCGAAAAGGUUAAGCUGUUAAAACGCAUUUAUUAAGGUAAACGAGUAUCUGGCUGAGAAAAAGGAGAAAAACUGGCAAGUGACUGCGAGGGGAGGAAAGAAAAAAGACAUUUUGAUCUGGUCGAGAAUUCAAUUUUCAUGCGGAUUGCUUUGUGGGAGGUUUCGGGACCGAGAUUUAUGGGCAUUUAAGUAGUUCGGCAGCGAGGCAAUUGGUGCGGACGAAAGAACUCAAGGAUUGUUGUUGUUCUUGCAAGAGUGGCUACGACGUAGAGAAAAAACGUCAUUUCAUAAGGUGGAUUGUGCUCGGGGCUAGCGGUCUUGUUUACACAUGGCAUCUCUUCUAAACUCGGCGACAAAUACCUGAAGAAUUAAAAAUCUCAUCAUCAACCCUAGCUGGGGGAGGGGGUCGAAAGAGCAGAAAGUUUCCUCUAAUGUUGUUAGUUUAAGGUAUACAGGCAAAAAAACGGUUUGCCUCUGGCUCUGUAUCUCGCACAAUAAAGAAUGGCUGCAUAAAAAGUCAUAGUUCCAGUUAGUCAAGUUAGAACAAAGUUGUGUUUGUUCAUUAAUAAAAUUUCCAGAUGUCUACGGUAUUUGCAGCGGAAGUAAUGUUUGACUUUAGCCCCCGACUUGUUAGUUGUCAAUAGGAGGGACUGCGGUUGAAAAUAAAAUUUCCUUAUAGAAAAUUAUCUUGUCCUUUUAUGUUGAUUUUUUCUCCGGGCAAUCAAAUGGUGUUGAGUUUCUAACGUUUAAUCUAAACAGAAACGGGAGUCAAUAUUUGUGCGAUGGAUUCUCUGCGAUUUUAUCGGAUUAGACUGCAGUCGCCAUUACCAAAAAAGUGCGCGGCAAAAAGUGCAAUAAUAAACAAUCAUUGGUGCACAAGUGCAGCAACUUAUAAUUUUUAUCGCGGCAAAUAUUGUGCUGAUGGUCACCGAGGGAUAGCCAGUCUGGCGUUUAUCGCCUUCACUCUCGAUUAAAUUACAAGCGAGUGUACAUUGUCCGCGGAGAAUCCCAGGCAGGAAGUCAACAUGGUCCGUCAGCACAUUAAUAUGGAAAUUUCAUUGGUUGUGCUUUUCCCUGUUCUUCCUGCUGAUUUGCAUAGUUGGAUUGCCCCCUCGGAGUUGUGCAGCAGCGAUUGCCGUCACAUCCACGUCCUGGGGGCCCUGCAGCUUCGAUUCUUGUUAAUGAAACUGGUAAUUAAGACCGUGAUCAAUUAUGCGGGUGGAAAGGGUUGACUUGUGACUUAGGCUUUCCCGGAGGACGAAGUGAGUGAGUGAGAGAGAGGGGACAUUUUUAAAAGUUUCCAACAGAGCGGCGAGGAGGGGAGGGACGAGACGAGCGGGGGGACACUUUUACUUAAUGCAGCUGCAGUCUCUGUAAUCUGUUGACGCCCAGGAAAAAUUUUUGCUUUCUGCCCUUUGGGGGAAAUCUCUGGUGGUGUACGUGCUCUGGCUCUUCAUGCAAAUUGGCCAGUGCGCUAAGAACGUCUUCACGGAGGCUGUGGCAGUGCAGUCAGUGUGUGUGAUACGCCUGCCAGCAGCCGUCCGGACCAGCUGUGAGAUAAUUACCACAAUUAAUCUUGGUUGUGCGAUUCCUAUAUGGAAACGGAGACUUUGCAGUUGUCAGACGGUGCAGCUGGUACAGAAAACCUACCUAGUCACGUGGCAGAUGUCCGUAGAGAGCUAGCUAAUUGUCUGCUAGAUUGUCAUGUGGGAUGACACUCCGUCUGAUGUCCUCUGUUUUAACUAUGGCUGGAGAACUAACGAGUCUCCCCCUCUUUUGACGCUUCCGUCCCUCCAUGCCCGAAAGUAGAAAAACCAAUCUCUGUCUUGGCGAUCAUAUUCUGUUAAAUAAAUGUCUCCCGCACGAACAGGUGACGGGGAAAGUGUUUUUGUUACCGCUAAAGGUCGUGACAGAUGACACCUGAAGUUAAGAUAUGGAUGUUUUGUAUCCGAAGAGUUGGCUAUUUACAAGACUUAAAUUUUUUUAUCUCCUCAUAUUUGUUUAUGCUUCCCCCGCAUUAUUUCCAUCUAUUAGGAGUGUCCUUCCAUUAGGACCGAACCGAUAAAAAACUCCAGCUCUUCUAAUCCCUCCAUCUUCAAUCACAGAAAAGGCCUUCAAUCAAUCUGGCUGAUAUUAAGGUUUUUAUAACUCGGAUUGACGCCGACCAAAGAACUCAAAGUGGCAGAGAACUUACUUCCUCUCUGCGGUUAAGUGCAUAAAUGGCAUCUUGGGGGACCGUCCCUCACCCCACAGUUGACCCGAACUCUGCGCUAGAUUUCUUUUUUUUUUUGUGCAGACUCUUCGACAAUAACACUAAAUGGAAAAGUGUCGGAAGAGAAGGUGAAGAUUAUCGACAGGAUGCAUCCGUCUUAAUUGCAUAUUUUUACAUAUGAUUCAAUCCAGCCACGUAUAGAGUAGAGAAUUAAGCGUAAAUAAAAGACAGUUUCUACUUAAAAACGCGGACGCAGAUGCAGAGACAAAAAAGUGGCUCUUGUACUUGUUCGGGUAGCGUAUCUAAUGUACUGGAUGGUUCUAAUGGACUUGGGAUAUGUUUAAUGCGAAAAUAAGUGCUGCAGAGGAAGGGGUCAUGUUGGAUACACCUACGACCUAUAAAAAAAAGAAACUUCUUUCAGUAUGAUAUCUGAAAUUUUUAAUAAAUGUGAUAGUCCAUUUUAUGCUUUUAUUGAUGUUUCCGCAUAAAAAGAUGAUAAAUUUUAAAUAUAUGCACCCUUCUAUAUUGGUCUGUAUUUUGUUUAGUCGGCUGUAAAAAAAAACCUUAUUGGUUGCGUGAUUGGAACAUAAAUAUAUUUAAUUCAUUAUGCGGGGCAAGAGAAAUUGUCUAUUAUGAGUACUUUACUUUUUUUAAAAUUCUCGCGCAUUUUAUUACCUUUUGGCGAUAAAAUGGUUUAAGAGGGCGUUACACUUUAUCCCUUCUCCCUCACCCGCCUCAUUGAAUGAUACCAGCCUUUCGUGACGUCACUACGCUGGCGUCAUUCGGGAUUUUGGCGAAAUUUCCGAUAUUUUCUUGUAGAUGCUCUUUUAUAAAUAGGCGAAGAGGAUGACAGGUCGGUGAGCGAAAGAAACGUUUGAAGCCAAGUCGACUCAUAUAAAGAAAAGUCUCGGCUAUUACCUUUAUUGUACUUCAUAUAUUAGUUUCAAUUUUAUUCGCCAUCACUUCAAAUUUUUCCGUCCGAAAAUUUUCUGUUAAGUUUCCAAUUAAUAAAUGACGUUUACUGUAAAUUACGGUGACGUCAUCUAGGCAUUUUUCCAAGUAUUUUUCCUUCCGCCCAAAAGUCCUUUUUUGUCAUCCAUCGUGCGAUUUUUCUUCAUCAAUCAAAAUCAAAAUCAAACGUCUCCGACGCAUCCAGUUAAAAUUUAUCAAUUUUGUCGUUUCUGAUCCCAAAUUUUGUUCACUUAUCGAUACGUUUCUCAUCGAUGACGUCACGGCCGGAUCCUAAAUAAUAAAUGGUGUUUGUGCCAAAAAAUUCAAUGCCCGAACGAAUUUUUGUUCGCGUGGCAGCCAAAUAACCAUUUCCAAUUAGGGUGGAGUUAUUCUCGGAUCUUUUUCCGCAUCGAACAGAAUAGUAAAAAUCGCGGAAACUGCUUAAAACUACUCUCGACUUUCAAACGUUAUAACGUCGAUGUUUUCCAGAAUUCCAUCCGGAAAUAGAAAAACGACUUUUCUGCUUCCUGCCUCUUUUCUUCCUUCUAGUAUUAAGCAUCAAAAAAUUGUAUAAGUUAUUACCGUAUUUAGAAUGAUAGAAAACAUCACAAAGGCAAUACACGAAAACGUGUUUCGUUAAUUGCCGGAGUCACGAAAAUCACGAAUAAAUUACCUUCCUUCUCGUUCAAAAAAUAAAUUUUUUCCAUUUCACUUCCCUUCCUUUUAAUACUAAUGUUGACAAGCCGUCGUCGUACUGAUUCCCAAAAAUUCCAUUCUAAAAAAAAAAAUAUUUUGGAGAUCACGUGAUGUGUCCGGUUUUUAAAAUCGAGGCAAGACAAACUCUUUUAAGCCAGAUAUUUAUUUUUUGUUUUUAAAUUUGAAUCUGUUUGCUAAUAGAAGUCGGAAACGGCCCCCGCCCCGGGCCAAUCAGCACCUUACUAGUAAAAUGUCAUCUGUAAAAAAAAUCAGAUCUAGAAUUAGAAUCGAAAUUACCUCCGGAAAUAGGCACGAAACCAUCAAUUAUUAAUUCUUAGCUAUUCCCAUAAAUUAAUAUUUUGUCGUGCUCUAUUCUAUAUUAAGACACAAAAACUGAUAAAAUUAGAUAUUCUAAUUUAAAUUCGAAAUCGUCGACAUUUAUGUUUGUACAUCUCAAUUAUAAAUAAGAAUUUUAACUGUCAACAAAACUUUAUCUCGUUUUAUGCGAUAUUAUGCAUAGCUAUUUUGAAGUAGACAAAUUAUUUUUUGGAACGAAUUU
rnacentral:lncRNA from 1 species